GCAGAACGCGAAGAACCUUACCCACACUUGACAUACCUCUUGGGGCUUUCAGAGAUGAUUGCUUUCGGUUCGGCCGGGGAGAGUACAGGUGCUGCAUGGCUGUCGUCAGCUCGUGUCGUGAGAUGUUGGGUUGAGUCCCGCAACGAGCGCAACCCUUAUCGUAUGUUGCCAGCAUUUAGUUGGGCACUCAUGCGAGACUGCCGGUGACAAGCCGGAGGAAGGCGGGGACGACGUCAAGUCAUCAUGGCCCUUACGUGUGGGGCUAGAAACGUGCUACAAUGGCGGUGACAAUGGGCAGCGAGAUCGUGAGGUCAAGCUAAUCCCAAAAAGCCGUCUCAGUUCAGAUUGUAGUCUGCAACUCGACUACAUGAAGUUGGAAUCGCUAGUAAUCGCAAAUCAGCAUGUUGCGGUGAAUACGUUCCCGGGUCUUGUACACACCG
rnacentral:rRNA from 1 species